ACAAGUUUAAGAGAUUUUUGGAAUGAUGUAUUAAUCGAUUAAUCUAUUUAUCGAUUUUUUUUCUGUUCCCAUGCGAUUUAAAUAUUGCCUUUUCAUUAAUCGAAAUCAUACUAAUGAUUUUUGCCAUGGCGGAUGAAGGUGCAUCUUCCAGUAGUAAUUCUGUGGAUGAGGUUGACGGAAGAAUAGAUAGCCAACCUCUUUCAAAUUCGACAUCAAGUCCUGAUACUGACAAUUGUGUAGUUGUAAGUAGUUCAAGCCAGCCAGAAAGUGUCAAUCAAGGUAAAGUUAUUUUUAAUAUUUGUUUUUGAUUUUUAAUAAUAAUAUCCAAUGUUAAAAU